rnacentral:miRNA from 1 species
AGAUUGUUUAGUUUUGUUUG